UACGUAGGGUGCGAGGGUUAAUCGGAAUUACUGGGCGUAAAGUGUGCGCAGGCGGCGUCGCAAGUCGAGUGUGAAAGCCCCGAGCUUAACUUGGGAAUUGCGCUCGAAACUACGGUGCUGGAGUAUGGCAGAGGAAGGUGGAAUUCCACGUGUAGCGGUGAAAUGCGUAGAGACGUGGAGGAACACCGAUGGCGAAGGCAAUCCCCUGGACCUGUACUGACGCUCAUGCACGAAAGCGUGGGGAGCAAACAGG
rnacentral:rRNA from 1 species